rnacentral:tRNA from 1 species
UCCCAGGUGGCUUAGUGGUAAAGUAUCUGCCUGCCAAUGUAGGAUACUCAGAAGGCCUGGGUUCGAUCCCUGGGUUGGGAA